rnacentral:tRNA from 1 species
GGACAGAUUCCCGAGAGGCCAAAGGGGACAGACUGUAAAUCUGCUGGCACUGCCUUCGAAGUUUCGAAUCCUUCUCUGUCCA